UACGUAGGAUGCGAGCGUUAUCCGGAAUUACUGGGUGUAAAGGGAGCGCAGGCGGGACUGCAAGUUGAAUGUGAAAUGCCGCAGCUUAACUGCGGAGCUGCAUCCAAAACUGUAGUUCUUGAGUGGAGUAGAGGCAAGCGGAAUUCCGAGUGUAGCGGUGAAAUGCGUAGAUAUUCGGAGGAACACCAGUGGCGAAGGCGGCUUGCUGGGCUCUAACUGACGCUGAGGCUCGAAAGUGUGGGGAGCAAACAGG
rnacentral:rRNA from 1 species